AGCCACCCCAAAACCAGAAUUUAUUUUUAAGCUGAGGUGGAAGGUCAGCUGCAGGGACACGCUGCCACCUCCCUUCUUGACAUGAGCCUCCUUGAGUUGGCACCAGGAUGUAGCAUGGCUCCCACCCUUGCUUCCCCUUUGGUUGGACACUCUCCAAUGCCAGGGUCAUGCACCAACAGAGCAGCUCCAAGAAAGAGCAUUUUCCAAAGCCCAGAUGACUCAGAGUGUGACACAGACUCCCUGCUAGAAGACAAUGAAUGUUGUAAAAAGCAAGAAAAGGGAAAGAAGGCCAGGGGCAGUAGCAGGCGCCUGCAAUCCCAGCACUUUGGGAGGCCGAGGAAGAUGGAUCACCUGAGCUCAGGAGUUUGAGACCAGCCUGGCCAACAUGGCAAAACCCCAUCUCUACUAAAAAUACAAAAAAUUAGUCCAGUGUGGUGGCAGGCGUCUGUAAUCCCAGCUACUCGGGAGGCUGAGGUGGCAGAAUCGCUUGAACCCUGGAGGCAGUGGUUGCAGUGAGCCGAGAUCACGCCAUUGCACUCCAACCUGGGCGACAAGAGUGAAAUUCCAUCUCUUAAAAAAAAAAAAGGAAAGAAAAGUUGACACUUUUUGCGUUCACAAAUGCUACCCCAAAGAUGCACCGUGGUGUUCAGAGGAGGCUAACCAAGGACCGGAGGAGAGGCGAGGUGGUGUGGCUGUUCAGGAUCAGAGCACUGGAACCCAGCAGGACCGUGUGCCUAUCUCAGUUCCACCAUGCCAGAGCCGUGUGACCUGGGGCAGGUAGCAACGUCUCUGAGCCUCAGUCUCCUCACCCCCUCAUCCCUCCACCUCACAGGUGAAGAGUAACCCUGAGACACUGCCCUUAGCAAUGUGCCUCCCACGAAACACCCUGGAGCAUUGAUGGUGAUGAUGAAGGGGUGGAGGGAGGUGGUGGGUCCUACAGUAGAAGGGUGAAGGCAUCUCAGCCAGAAGGAGCUGGGUUCAAGUGCUAGCUCACCCCCUGUCUGGCUGGGUCCCCUUAGACGAGUAACUUUACUUCUCCAAGCCUCUCGCUCCUCAUCCGGGAAAAUAGAGACGAUGAUACCUUCCUCACAAAGUGGUUGGGAGGAUUCACUGAAUGGGUGGCAUGAAAGUCCCCAGCACGGUGACAUCUCCCUCAGCAGAUGUUUCUGCUCUGUCCCUUCACAUGUGGCAUGAGCUCCUGUGUCUCCCUGUCAACGAGUCAUUCGGAAGGAAAGGCUGGUUACUUUGAAUAGACGCAUAGCUCACUACUGAGGAGAAGUCCUCACCAAGGACUGUUGGAAAGAAGACCUGUGUGUAUUCAUGCUCGAGUCCAGACCCCAAUCUGAACCCAUUUGAAGUGCCUCCCUCCCUCCUGCCCCUCCUCCCUGUCCUCCUCCUCCUUUUUCUUCUUCACAGUGAUGUUGUUCUGGACCCACUGAACUUGCUGCUGGACAGCACUUAGAAUGGUGCCCUAAUGCCUGGCACAUAGUAGAUACUUGAAUAUUUAUUAAGUGAAUAAAUAAAUGCUAUAGAAUAAAACUCAGUCCUUUUUUUAACUGGUGGAGCUAAGUCAUUAUUUCCUGCAUUUGUGAAUAUUUUAAAAUUACAAAAUAAAUUUAUAUUGAUUCUAGAAAAAUAAUUAGAAAAUACAGUUGAUUAAAAAGAAAAAAUAACAGUUCCAUGCAAUCCCAUUGUCCAGCCUUAACCACUGGUGUUAAUUUGCUCUACAGGUCCUUCCAG
rnacentral:lncRNA from 1 species